rnacentral:rRNA from 1 species
GGCAUGCCUAAAACAUGCAAGUCGAACGAAGUCUUCGGACUUAGUGGCGCACGGGUGAGUAACAUGUGGGAAUCUACCUAGAGGUUCGGGAUAACUAUUGGAAACAGUAGCUAAUACCGGAUGUGUCUGCAAAGAGAAAGAUUUAUUGCCUUUAGAUGAGCCCGCACUAGAUUAGCUAGUUGGUGAGGUAAUUGCUCCACCAAGGCUACGAUCUAUAGCUGGUUUGAGAGGAUGAUCAGCCACACUGGGACUGAGACACGGCCCAGACUCCUACGGGAGGCAGCAGUUAGGAAUAUUGGACAAUGGGGGAAACCCUGAUCCAGCAAUGCCGCGUGAGUGAAGAAGGCCUUAGGGUUGUAAAACUCUUUCAUCAAUGAUGAUAAUGACAUUAGUUGAAGAAGAAGCUCCGGCUAACUCCGUGCCAGCAGCCGCGGUAAUACGGAGGGGGCUAGCGUUGUUCGGAAUUACUGGGCGUAAAGCGUAUGUAGGCUGAUUAAAAAGUUAGAUGUGAAAUCCCUGGGCUCAACCCAGGAACUGCAUUUAAAACUAAUAAUCUAGAAAAUGGUAGGGGUUAGUAGAAUUUCCAGUGUAGAGGUGAAAUUCGUAGAUAUUGGAAAGAAUACCAGUGGCGAAGGCGACUAACUAGGCCAAUUUUGACGCUGAGAUACGAAAGCGUGGGUAGCAAACAGGAUUAGAUACCCUGGUAGUCCACGCAGUAAACGAUGAGUGCUAGUGGUUGGAUCAAUAGAUUCAGUCUCGAAGCUAACGCAUUAAGCACUCCGCCUGGGAAGUAC